rnacentral:misc_RNA from 1 species
GAGCUCUGUCAUUCCUUUCGUCGGGAAGAUUGCUCCUUCGGAUACCUACAAGAUCUGGAAGCGUGACGGGAAUCUCCGAGCAGAUACUUCCCUAGCCGGUUUUGAUGGCUUGAAGAUCCAGCGAGCAGACCAGAGCUUCCUUUUCCUCGGCGACGGUGACCAUAUCCAUAACAUUCCUUCAGGUUCAUUGCUUGUGCUCAACCGUGAUGAUCGUAAAAUUUUAGACGCAUUUGAAAACGCGGGAGCUCCAAUGAGCGAGUCUGACAUUGCAGGAUUCUGCUCCCAGACCAGCGUAUACAGGCCUGGAAUGGACGUCACAAAGG